rnacentral:lncRNA from 1 species
GAACAUUUACUCCAAUAAGGCCUCACAAUCAGAGACAGCUGCUACAGUUACUCCGCUCGGGAAUCACGGCGUCCAUGGAUGGCCUGUCAUAAGGAGACUCGUUGGUGCAGAGCGAGGCGAUUUUUGCAAGUUUAGCUGCCUCGUACUCGAAGAACCUUCCAUGGAUAUUCCCAUCAAUGAAUUCUUGGAAUCUGCACGAUUCAACAGCCAGACGCAUGGAGUGAUCUAUUUUCUGCUUCCCCGACAAGAUCUGGAACACGAUCAUUCCAAACGCGUAGACAUCACUCUUCUCCGUGAACCGGCCCGUGGACGUGUACUCGGGCGCUAGGUAGCCCAUGGCAGCGCUAGCUUUAGAGCAACGAGAACAUAACAUCAUUUGUCAGGAGCCUGUGGAGACCAGAUUGGUAGAGCAACGGAUUGAAUCGCUGGUCUAUGAGCACCUUGGCUGCUGAGAUGUUUUGGUGAAAGGAGGGGGGCCUUGUUUGGUUUGUGAGCGUGCAAAUAGGCAAUACCUGUUUCGUAGGAUUAUUUGAAAAUCAACAAAAUCAGAGGUGCAACUUGCAAGUAGAAGACAUCAAAAUCAGUUGAUCCCCNNNNNNNNNNNNNNNNNNNNNNNNNNNNNNNNNNNNNNNNNNNNNNNNNNNNNNNNNNNNNNNNNNNNNNNNNNNNNNNNNNNNNNNNNNNNNNNNNNNNNNNNNNNNNNNNNNNNNNNNNNNNNNNNNNNNNNNNNNNNNNNNNNNNNNNNNNNNNNNNNNNNNNNNNNNNNNNNNNNNNNNNNNNNNNNNNNNNNNNNNNNNNNNNNNNNNNNNNNNNNNNNNNNNNNNCUGCUCACUAGCAGUCCAAAGCACUGUCAAUGAUGCAUCAGAAGAAAUUAGAACUAGAGGUAUUGCUUUGAAGGUUCUUACUUGCUUAUAUACAUACAGGUAUAUAUUGAUUUGCGAACUUGAUCUAUAAAACUGAAAUUUGAAAUAAUUUUAUGAUUGGUUGGAAGAGUGUGCUAAUGGUUUCAAGCCCUUGGCACUAUGACCUAAAACAAUUGAAAGGAGUUUUCAGUGUGUCUAAUAUUCUCUGGGCAUCUUACUUGGGCCAAACCAUCGGCUGAUAUAGAUGAAGACAUAUACCAAGGGGCAUCUUGGUAGACCUUGUCCCAGGGCGUUAAGUGUAGUUAUAGUUUGAUAUUGACCACAUGAUUGACCAAUGAGUUAGACCACUGGUAUUUAUUAUGAUAUUAUUGAUUGAAUGAGAAUAUAUUAAAUGUAUAAAGUUAUAUUAAACUGGUAUAACUAAUCUUUAAUGUAUAUUACAUGCUGAAUUUGGAUAAAUGUGUUGCUGGUAUUGUUUAAAUGUGCAUAACCGAUACUCAAUCUACUUAAAAGAGAUUUAUACUACUCAAUCGGCGAUGAUUUGCUCGGAUCCUUCAUCUCAAUUCUUUUUCAGGUUUUAACGACUAGUAGCAAAUAGAAAGAGAGUGGAAUCAGUGAGGAAAUUUGGGAGUUCGAGUUUGGUAUGACUUAAGAUAGCUGUAUACAUAUGAAAUGCUAGUUAUCGAGUUUAAUAUAGAAGUCACUAGAGAUGCACUUAUUCUUUUUUGUAGACUUUAGAACUAUGAUCAUGUAUCUAUAAUGUUGAUUUUGUAUAUGAUGCUCCAUGAUUUUCUCCAUACAUGAAGAUUUAGGGUGUGACCAAUAAGGGACAAUGUGAGUGACCAAAUUGCCCAGAUACUGAAAGGACAGCUCUCAAGUCAAAUGAAACAUUAAUUUUGAGCAUUUUAUCACAAUAGUUAGUUUCAUGGUAUAUGGAGAUCGACCUUCAAGGUUGGCAUGGCAAGUAAUGUGUCAUGUCACAAGCGGACUUUGUAUAAGUGAAUCAUAUUCGAGCUGGACUUGACAAGAACUUUCGAGUAAAACUUAAAUUUGUUACAGCAAACUCCAAAGCCAACAUGAUUUGAUAAGUUUUGAUCCUUACCUUUUUCUUUUCAUUUAAAAUCGAAAGCAAUUUUUCAUCGCAAUGAAACAAUAUGGAAAGCAAUGAGACAGCAUGAGGCCAGCGAUCGAAUAUGAUGCCACGGCAUGAUUUAACGGUCCUAAAUGUGUUGCCAUUAGAGAGAUCGCCACGUCAACUUAGAGACCUCUCAUGGCUAUGAGAUUUGAAGAGAUGAUGAAACUCGCGAUAAAUUUAGGGGAAAGAGAUUCAAAUGCUUUCACAGCCUGAAGGAGCAUGCCAUCGUAUUUUGGCCAUUUCUUGUUUCAGUCUCGAUCAAAUCAAAGUAGAUUCUGAUUAGUCUUUUCUGGGUGUGGUCCUAUCGCUACAUUCAAUGAAAAUACAGAGCCAUCGGAUUCCAUGUGAAGGCCGACACCUUCUUCAAAGAUUUUUGCUGCAUUUUGUACUCUACUUGGGCUCGCUCACUCUGAAAUGAGGAAGCACAGAUUCACCAUUCAGGCCAUUGCCACUGGAGAGGUAAAACCCAAAAUACUCCGUGAAAGUGGUCUCUCUGUACAUGGGUGGAUUGUCCUCAUCGAGAAGCUCCUUUAUUGGCCCAUACGGCUUUGACAUCUGUGUCUCUCCUGGUACGAGGAAGCAUGCGACUGACACCCGGGGCCCGGCCUUCCUGGCAAGGACCCGGUGCUCCACGCUCUUGAACUUGUCGUUGCUAACAAGCUGCAAUCAACAAGAUCAGGGAAAACGAAAGUCAUUCUUCAACUCGAAGAUAACUCGACGUUAAUCCACCCAGAAACGUAGGCAACGAGAUGUGAAUGAUCUUUGUACCUGCAUGAGGUCUCCAAUGUUGGCUAGGAUGGCUCCAGGCACCGGGGACACAUCGACCCACUGGUCCUGGUGCCGGACUUGGAGGCCGCCAUGGUGGUUUUGCAGGAGAAGAGUGAGAUAUGUGGCAUCCGAGUGAUUGAUUGUGCCCAGAGUCAGCUCUGGCUGAGGGCAAGUUGGGUAGUAACGGCUUACUAUUCUCUUGGAGUCCAUGCAUUCAAUGUCACCAAGAUAGCCUGAAUCGAGCCCCAGUGCCUCUGAUAGUAGUUCAGACAGAGAUCUCUUCAAUUUUUCCACGUGUUUUUCGUACUCAAAAACUGGCUCUCUGCAAAGGAGGGAAAGUAAACAUCACGUGGUAAAGAAUACUUGAACCUAUGCAAAUAGAGAAGGGUGUUGGAUUAUAAUGUCUCAAGUUGCUGUUUUCUGUUUUGUUUUUUUUACUCUGUUUUCUGCUGUUUUCUGUUCUGUUUUCUGCUCUGUUUUACUCUGUUUUUUUAUUAAAAAACAGCCAAGUUCAAUUUAGUUAUUUAUUUAGUGUUUUUGUUAUUUUCUAGGAAGUUAAUAGCACGUUUGUGUGCAAUUAUGUGUUGCACAUACGUGAGCAGUUUUUGCUUUGUUUAAGUUGUCCUGUACUUGACAAUUUCCUUUAGAACAGACGUAUGCAAGUUUGUGUUCUGUUUCUCUGCGCUUCUCUUCCUCAUCUGAAAAAUAUAGCUUCUAGUUUUCUAUUUUCUUGUUUACUGUUUUGAUCAGUAACAACAGUGGUAUCAGAGCGUGUGUGAUCUUGAGGGACUGUGAAGUGAAGCAAGUAUCGAAGUGUAAAGAAGUUAAAGGGUGAUGGAGACAGGGUCGAGUGGUUUCUCUGCGAUGGCUUCUCCAGUAUUUACUGGAGAGAAUUAUCAAGCAUGGGCUGUUAAGAUGACAGCAUUUUUGGAGGGUCAUGAUCUGUGGGAAGCUGUGGAGGAUGAUUAUGAAGUUGCUCCACUUCCCGAUAAUCCGACCAUGAAUCAAAUCAAACUUCAUAAAGAGAGAACCACAAUAAAAGCCAAGGCAAAAUCUUGCCUGUAUGCUGCUGUCUCGCCUACCAUAUUUACCAUAAUUAUGAAGUGUGACUCUGCAAAGGCCAUAUGGGACUUCUUGAAGGAAGAAUAUGAAGGAGAUGAGAAGAUAAGAGGUAUGAAGGUGCUGAAUCUCUUGAGGGAGUUUGAGAGACAGCAGAUGAAGGAUUCAGAGUCAGUGAAGGAGUACUCUGAUAGGUUGGUUGGGAUAGCUGAUAAAAUCAGAGUUUUAGGGACUGACUUGAAGGAUGAAAGGCUUGUUCAGAAGAUUCUGGUGUCUCUUCCAGAGAAGUUCGAAGCCACCAUAGCGUCUCUGGAAAAUACAAGAGACUUACCUGAUAUAAAGCUUGCAGAAUUGUUGAAUGCUUUGCAGGCGCAGGAGCACAGAAGACUGAUGAGAAGAGAAGAGUUUGUAGAGGGUGCGCUGCAAGCUAGAGUGAAGUCAAAUGAUGGAGGCAAAGGGAAGAAAUGGAUUCAGUCUAGAGAAAAUGUUGGUGACUCCAAGUUUGUAGCAAAAGAAGGAAAUUCUGGUGGGUCUAGCAAAUGGAAGAUGAACAAAAAGCCUUGUCAAUACUGUGGUGGAACUAAUCAUCAGUUUUUUAGAUGUUGGAGAAAGCCUGAUGCUAGAUGCAGAAGAUGUCACAAGUUGGGUCACAUGGAAGCCAUCUGCAAAGAAAAAAAUUACCGGCAAGCAGGAAAAGCCCAGGUAGCAGUGAAUGAAACUAAGGAAGAGCACUUAUUGUAGCUUCUUUUUCUGAAUCUUCUGUUGGGAAUGAUGCAUGGCUGGUGGAUAGUGGCUGUACCAAUCAUAUGAUUGGCAAUUCGAAGCUGUUUAGGAGUCUAGACAGGUCAGUUAGGUCCAGAGUCAGAAUUGGCAAUGGACAGUAUAUCGAAGUGCAAGGGAAGGGUACAGUGGCUAUUGAAGGAAAUCAGGAGGUGAAGCUGAUCAGUGAUGUUCUCUUUGUGCCAAAUAUUGACCAUAAUUUGUUAAGUGUUGGUCAAUUAGUUGAGAAGGGCUAUAAAGUGAAAUUCGAAGGGAAUGAAUGUCUUAUUAAUAAUGCAGAUAGCAAAGAAGUGCUAAGAAUUCCAAUGGAGGACAAGAGUUUCAUGUUCAAGCCACAAGAGAUGCAACAAAUGGCUUUAAAAUGCAAAGAAGAAAAUGCAGAGAUAUGGCAUAAAAGACUUGGGCAUGUUCACAGGAAGAGCAUGUUGUUUAUGCAGAGAAAUAGCUUGGCAGAUGACUUGCCAAGUUUGGAGGAGAAAUUUCCACAGUGCAGAACUUGUCUUCUUGGCAAGCAAGUCAGAUUUCCUUUCAAAGGAGGAGGCUGGAGAGCAUGUGAGAAGCUGCAAUUAGUCCACACAGAUUUAUGUGGACCUAUGUCUGAGUCUUCUCUCAAUGGUAGCAGGUAUUUCAUUACCUUCACUAAUGAUAUGACUAGAAUGAGUUGGAUUUAUUUUCUGCGAGCCAAGUCUGAAGUUGCUGAUGUGUUUGUGAAGUUUAAAGCUUAGUUGAGAAUUAGAGUGUGAAGAAAAUUAAAAUGCUUAGGUCUGAUAAUGGUUAUGAGUAUACUGCUCAUAAGUUUAAGUUAAAUUGUGAGCAAGCAGGAAUUGUGAAACUGCUCCCUAUUCACCUCAACAGAAUGGGGUCAGUGAGAGGAAAAACAAAAGUAUUAUGGAGAUGGCCAGAUGUAUGAUGCAGGAGAAGAUGUUGCCUAAGAAGUUCUGGGCUGAAGUAGCUAAUACUGCAGUGUUCCUGUUGAACAGAUUGCCCACAAAGUCCUUAGAGAGGUCAACACCUUUUGAAGUCUGGUAUGGUGUUAAACAUUUUGUGAAAAAUUUGAAGGUUUUGGGGUGUUUGUGUUACACUCAUGUUCCUGAGGUCCAGAGGGACAAGCUGGAUAAGAAAGCAGAGCUUGGAAUCUCCAAUCAAAAGCUUACAGAAUUUUUCAUCCUACAGAAUUUUUCACCCUAUGACAGGGAAGGUGACUGUAAGCAGAGAUGUUGUUUUUCUAAAGGAAGAUGAGUGGAAUUGGAUGGAAGGAAAGAGUGCAGAACAGCAACAGUUUGAAAAACAACCUGCAACAAAUGUAGAGGUUGAUGAAGUUAUAGAUGGAUUGGAAGACAGUGUUGAUGAUUUACCAGUGAGAGGUACAAGGUCACUUGCUGAAAUCUAUGAAAGAAGCAAUGUGGCAAUGCUCGAACCAUCUAACUUUGUGGAAGCUAAAGAGGAUUAGAGGUGGAUUGCAGCAAUGCAGGAGGAGAUUUCAAUGAUCCAGAAAAACCACACAUGGGAGCUCGUUGACAAACCAUUUGAUAAGAAUGUGAUUGGGGUUAAGUGGGUGUUUAGAACAAAACUUAAUCCUAAUGGUUCUGUUAAUAAAUACAAAGCUAGACUGGUGGUGAAAGGCUAUGCACAAAUAUGGGGAGUAGACUAUUCUGAAACAUUUGCUCCUGUUGCACGACUUGAUACAAUAAGGUUACUGUUAGCUAUUGCAGCAGAGAAAGGGGUGGCAUAUAUUUCAGUUAGAUGUCAAGUCUACAUUUCUGAAUGGAGAGCUUGAGGAGGAGAUUUUUGUUGAACAACCUGAAGGCUUUAGUAUCAAAGGGCAAGAAGAGAGUGUAUACAGGUUGAAGAAAGCUCUAUAUGGACUGAAGCAGCUCCAAGAGCUUGGUAUGGGAAGAUAGAUCAAUAUUUGCAGAUUUUGGCUUCGUAAAAAGCUUAAGUGAGUUCNNNNNNNNNNNNNNNNNNNNNNNNNNNNNNNNNNNNNNNNNNNNNNNNNNNNNNNNNNNNNNNNNNNNNNNNNNNNNNNNNNNNNNNNNNNNNNNNNNNNNNNNGCAAGAUUUAUUUGCAGUUUUUGAGAUGUCAGACUUGGGAAAGAUGGCUUAUUUUUUGGGUUUGGAAGUCAAACAGGCUUCAUAUGAGAUCUUCAUCUGUCAAAAAAAAUACAUGAAGGAAAUUCUAAAGAAGUUUCAGAUGGAAGAUUGUCGAAAUGUAAGCACUCCUAUGGUUGCUAAAGAGAAGCUGCAGAAGAAUGAUGGAACAGAUGCAGUAGAUGCUUCUAUGUAUAGAAGUCUGAUUGGGUGUCUCAUGUAUCUUACAGCAACCAGACCAGAUAUUCUAUUUGCUGUGAGUGUUUUAUCCAGGUUUAUGAGUAGUCCUAGUCAGUUACAUUUGAUUGCAGCAAAAAGGGUAUUGAGAUAUCUCAAAGGAAUAUUGUUCUUUGGUGUGAAGUUUAAGAAAUGUCAGAAGUUUAAUUUGCAAGAAUUUUCUGAUAGUGACUGGGCUGGUUCAGUAGAUGACAUGAAGAGUACGUCUGGAUAUUGUUUCAGUUUUGGUUCUGCUUGUUUCUCUUGGUGUUCCAAAAAGCAAGAGAUUGUAGCUCAGUCUACUGCAGAGGCUGAGUUUAUAGCAGCUACUGCAACUUCAAAUCAAGCUUUAUGACUGAAGAAGAUAAUGAAAGAUCUGUGGUUGAAUUCUAGUGAUUGCAUUGAAGUUAAUGUGGAUAAUCAGGCCGCUUUAGCAAUAUCUCAGAAUCCAGUUUUCCAUGGCAAAACCAAGCAUUUCAAAGUCAAAUUUUUCUUUCUGCGUGAGGUGCAACAAAGUGGCGAAGUUAAGUUGGUCUAUUGCAAAUCUGAAGAUCAACUUGCAGACAUGUUCACAAAAUCACUUCAAGCUGGAAGAUUUGAAGUAUUAAGAAAGAAAAUUGGAGUAUGCAGCAGCAAGUGAUCCAAGGAGGAGUUUGUUGGAUUAUAAUGUUUCAGUUGCUAUUUUCUGUUUUGUUUUUUUACUCUGUUUUCUGCUGUUUUCUGUUAUGUUUUCUGCUCUGUUUUACUCUGUUUUUUUUAUAUUAAAAAACAGCCAAGUUCAAUUUAGUUAUUUAUUUAGUGUUUUUGUUAUUUUCUAGGAAGUUAAUAGCACGUUUGUGUGCAGUUAUGUGUUGCACGUACGUGAGCAGUUUUUGUUCUUGUUUAAGUUGUCUUGUACUUGACAGUUUCCUAAGAACAGAUGUAUGCAAGUUUGUGUUCUGUUUCUCUGCGCUUCUCUUCCUCAUCUGAAAAAUAUAGCUUCUGGUUUUCUAUUUUCUUGUUUACUGUUUUGAUCAGUAACAACAAAGGGAAAGUUAUAAAUGGAUGAAAGAGGUGUGAAGAAUCGAACUUGAGAUCUAUCUCUUGCCCUGAUAUCAUGUUGAAGUUAUGCAGAAAACUGUUUUCUUUCCCCUUUAAAGAAAAAUAGAAACAGCGUAUAUAUUUUUUGAAAAUUGUCGAAGUCCUAGGUGAAGGAAUAGAGUGUAAAUCAUGAUGACCUGAAUAGAAGAGGGACUGCCUCUCGGUCUGGCUCUCCAAACGGGAAAUCAAACAGGAGAGUGUCCUUCCAAGUUGCUGCUUUGGACAAAAACAAGUCUCCAUUGCUGUAGUACCUAAAUUUCCUAGCGUCGUCCCUGGAGUACCACUCUCCCUUCACUCCCUCAGGCUGCUCGUGGAACUGCUUGACAGCUUCCAACACGCCGUCCAUCACAUCGACCGGGAUCCCGUGGUUAAUUAUCUGGAAGAACCCCCACGUCUCCGACGCUCUACGGAGGUCGUCGACCACGUCUCGCCGCAGCCGGGAAUCCUGACAGCCCAUCAUGUCGAUGAUGGGGACCUUGAGGUCAGUGGCGGACCCCUCUGUGUCAGAGGACAAGUCGCGCAGGUUCUGGGGAGGGUGGAUGAAGAGCCUAGGGACCUUGGCCAUGCCGGAGUCGAUGAGGCCUUUGACGCCGGCUUUGGUCUCGUCGAAUUCCUUUGCUUCUUUCGCUCUGUCAUAGUGCGGGCCACUACAGGUGAUGGAUUCUCCAGGACUGGGCAAGGUUUGCAUCUUUGUAAGGAGAAGCUUUGAAGCCUAUUAAGGAUUCUCCAGAACCAAAGUAGAUCUCUCCUUCUUUCCUUCUCUCUUUCCCUUUUAUCUCCUCCUUUUUCUUUUUUCUUUUUUCUUUCUUUUCUCUCUCUCUCUGCUGAAGCUUCCACCUUUUUCCUCUACAUUGACUUUUCAACCCCUUAUUUUACAUGCCAAGUCGCCGUCCGAUCACGUCAGAUCCAAAGGGAACCUCAUCACCCUAUAGCGAUCACACGUCUAGAUUAGAGUUAAAGUCAAUUGAAGUAUCCAAUUUGUGCAAAUACUGAUGACAAUGUCCUAGACCAUAAAAUAAGGGGAGUGUUAUUUUACUCUUGAACAUUCUAAACAUCCAUUGACUGUACAUCAGCAACGGAAAAACAAAUCGCCUCGAUUAACCAGCAAUUAAAGAUGCCAGCAGAUCCACCAAUGGAAAAACAAAUCGCCUCAAUUAACCAGCAAUUAAAGAUGCCAGGCAGGGCUAAUGCAAUGCGACCACGGCAACAAGGCUAGUUACCGGCGUUGGAAGUCCACGGCCAUUUUCACCCACACAACUGCGGCACGCAACGAGAAAUAUCGAAAAUCUAAUUCCGAAAUGAACCUACUUCUAAAGAAAAUAUUUUGAAAAGCAAUCAUACAUGCGUGAAUUAAAGUCAUUCAUCCCUACCAGGCUUGAACAUACACAAGAAAGCACGGCCCUAAGGCAAAGGCACCAAAUCAAAAAGAUGUCAAAGCCGGUAGGUUACAACAUUAGUGGCAGCGCAGGGAGCUUUUUCAGACCAACUUCUACCAUUGACUUUUGCAACAGCUCCUGGAACAUUUACUCCAAUAAGGCCUCACAAUCAGAGACAGCUGCUACAGUUACUCAGCUCGUGAAUCACGGCGUCCAUGGAUGGCCUGUCAUAAGGAGACUCGUUGGUGCAGAGCGAGGCGAUUUUUGCAAGUUUAGCUGCCUCGUACUCGAAGAACCUUCCAUGGAUAUUCGCAUCAAUGAAUUCUUGGAAUCUACAUGAUUCAGCAGCCAGACGCAUGGAGUGAUCUACUUUCUGCUUCCCCGACAAGAUCUGGAACACGAUCAUUCCAAACGCGUAGACAUCACUCUUCUCUGUGAACCGGCCCGUGGACAUGUACUCAGGCGCUAGGUAGCCCAUGGCAGCACUAGCUUUGAGCAACGAGAACACAACAUCAUUUGUCAGGAGCCUGUGGAGACCAGAUUGGUAGAGCAACGGAUUGAAUCGCUGGUCUAUGAGCACCUUGUCUGCUGAGAUGUUUUGGUGAAGGAGGGGGGCC